UACGUAGGGUCCGAGCGUUGUCCGGAAUUAUUGGGCGUAAAGAGCUCGUAGGCGGUUUGUCGCGUCUGCUGUGGAAACUGGAGGCUCAACCUCCAGCCUGCAGUGGGUACGGGCAAACUAGAGUGCGGUAGGGGAGAUUGGAAUUCCUGGUGUAGCGGUGGAAUGCGCAGAUAUCAGGAGGAACACCGAUGGCGAAGGCAGGUCUCUGGGCCACUACUGACGCUGAGAAGCGAAAGCAUGGGGAGCGAACAGG
rnacentral:rRNA from 1 species